ACAGUAACGAUUCAAUCUCCAAUUCUAUGGCAAAGGAGAAAGCAAUUGCAGAGAAAGGGUUCUAUUUGCAUCCGUCUCCGAUUACGACUCCCAGAGACUCAGAGCCCCGGCUUUUGCCCCUGUUUCUGGUGAC